rnacentral:rRNA from 1 species
UACGAGGGGUGCAAGCGUUGCUCGGAAUUAUUGGGCGUAAAGGGUAGGUAGGUGGUCUGAUUUGUCUGGGGUGAAAGCCUUGAGCUUAACUCAAGAAGUGCCCCAGAAACGGUCAGACUCGAGUCCUGGAGAGGGUCGUGGAAUUCCCGGUGUAGCGGUGAAAUGCGUAGAGAUCGGGAGGAACACCAGUGGCGAAGGCGGCGACCUGGACAGGUACUGACACUCAACUACGAAAGCGUGGGGAGCAAACAGG